GACGCAGCUCUUUUUGUUCUCGCAACCACAUGCACAAGAAGGGCAAGGAGUUGUGGUGUCGUUGUAGAAAGAAGAGAAGGAGACGCAACAACUUGAAUGCUUUCUCGCUAGAAACUGUGAGUAGGUACAUGUAACAUUCCAUGUCACUGCAGAAGCAUGAGUUUGAAAUGAUGUUUAGAGAUCAAUGAUGCUUAUUAGGCAUGCGGUUCCAGUAGUCUGGGUAGUUUGGUUCGGUCAAAAUCUCACAGAAUUGAACCGAAAAAAAAUUAUUUUGAUAUUUGGGUCGUUCCGUUUUAAAAUUUUCUACCGAAACUAAUCAAAAUUUUGGGCUCCGGUUAUAUUUUGGUUUAAAGUUUGGUUAAAUUCGGCUAAUUUCCAUUAAGUUUGUUCAAAAUUUUGGUUAAUUCUGUUAGUUUGGUUCAAAACUUGGUUAAUCUUUUAUUUUGAAAAAUGGAACCAAACUUCUUUUAUAAACCUGCCAAAUAGAACCGAACUCAUAACCGGAGAAACCAGAAAUUUUGGUUCGGCGAGUUUGGUUUGGUUCAAAACCGCACGCCUAAUGCUUAUAGUUUACUCGUUUAAGUUUACUUACUCAAAGCUUGUGUCUUUCUUCGUUUGUCAGUAGUGAAAAAAACAGUAGAUGGCACGAUUUUGGCAGGACCGCAAGUGUAACCAGGCCCGGGACCAAGCAAUGUGAAGUUCUUAGGAAGGUACCUUAUAAUUAUUUCAUAGAAGUAUUAAUUAAAUAUUUCAAUGAUGCAUUAUUAAAUUUCUUUCCCUUGAUUUAAUUGUUAUAGAUCGUAGAAGAAAACAUAAUGAUACAUUGAUACGGAUGUACCUUACAGUAUCAUUUGAACAAACACCCAAUUUCUUCAAGAAGCAGCGCAAUUUAUCAAAGUUUUUGAGCUAACGAAAAGCGGAAUGUAAAUACAUUAAAAUGGGCCUAGAGUAAUGCGCUUAUUCCGGCCCAAUAUAAAACGUAAUUGUUACUAUUUAAGCUCUUUCGUUCUUUCGCAUCUUUCUCAAGUCAAUCAGUGUUUCACUUCCCACAUGAGUAAAGACAUUACACUUACACAUAUUCAUCUCUAAGACUCUAAUCAUUCUCUCUUACGUCAUAAGCAAAAAAAAACAUUCUCUUACAAAAACAUGUUUAUAAUCUUUAUCUGAAAACCGAACUGACACAGCUUCUGGUUUGGUUUCUGAAACCCACAAGGAUCAGACUAAUCACCAUAUUGAGAUGAACAUAAGAAUAAGAAUCGUGAGUGGUAGUGUCCAGAGAGAAGCCAAGUUUACUCGUGCAGAGUUUGGUAGAAAAGGGUAUGAAUCUGGUGGAGGUAACAUACAUUCAUCGCCAUUGAAGUAAACUUUUCUCGGAAAAGCCCAACCUUGCUUGAAAGUAAACGUCUUUUGAUCUUUCUGAAGCAAAACCUCUGACUGAACAUUCCCUGAAGGUCCCGCUUCCAUCAAAAGAUCAUUGUAAAACUUCGUGCCAUAGAACAUUCCAGUAUCAUCUGCAUAAAAAAGAUUUAACAUUUCAAUGUUUGGUUCUAAAGCUUGAAUCUUUUAUAGUGAGAGACUUACUUAUGGAUCCAUAAGGAGCAACUGAUUUGUAAUCAAAGCUGAAAACUUGAGUCACAUUGUUGAGAUUUGGGUGCUGAACUGCUAAAGUCCACAGUGUAUGGUUCAUCCUGUAGUUGAAGUUUGUGAUAGCUAUCUUUACACGCCAAUAGUCUUUGUAGUUAACUUUAACGUGCCAGUGAACUCUAACAGGGCACAUGUGGUGUGUGCAUUGUAGUAAAGGAGCGUUGUCUUUUCUCGGUGUGUUGAGACCUUUCUUUGUUAGAAUCUUAGAAUCAGCCCUGCAAGCAAAAUUAUUAAUAAUGAGUAUGAAAUUAAGUGAUUUGCGUUUUUGUUUUUGCUUACUUGACGCAGCUCUUUUUGUUCUCGCAACCACAUGCACAAGAAGGGCAAGGAGUUGUGGUGUCGUUGUAGAAAGAAGAGAAGGAGACGCAACAACUUGAAUGCUUUCUCGCUAGAAACUGUGAGUAGGUACAUGUAACAUUCCAUGUCACUGCAGAAGCAUGAGUUUGAAAUGAUGUUUAGAGAUCAAUGAUGCUUAUUAGGCAUGCGGUUCCAGUAGUCUGGGUAGUUUGGUUCGGUCAAAAUCUCACAGAAUUGAACCGAAAAAAAAUUAUUUUGAUAUUUGGGUCGUUCCGUUUUAAAAUUUUCUACCGAAACUAAUCAAAAUUUUGGGCUCCGGUUAUAUUUUGGUUUAAAGUUUGGUUAAAUUCGGCUAAUUUCCAUUAAGUUUGUUCAAAAUUUUGGUUAAUUCUGUUAGUUUGGUUCAAAACUUGGUUAAUCUUUUAUUUUGAAAAAUGGAACCAAACUUCUUUUAUAAACCUGCCAAAUAGAACCGAACUCAUAACCGGAGAAACCAGAAAUUUUGGUUCGGCGAGUUUGG
rnacentral:lncRNA from 1 species